CUCAUGAAGGCAGUACGGUCUGACUGUAGAUGCUGUGGACUGUAGAUACCAGAACUAAGCUAAUUCUGCAAGUGGGUAUGGAGUUCCUGCCAUGUCCUCAACUUCCCCUGUAAGAACAUGAAGUCAAAAUGUGGCUCUCCCCUCUGAGAGUUUAUAACCCUGCUCUGAUGCCAGAACCCACACAUUAAAUUAUUCAGCAGCCAAAUAAGAAUUAAGUUUGAAAUGCAAAACAAAAAGAAAUGAAAACGUAGGGCUAUGGUUUUCUUAUCUGCUACAGAUACUGUAUUGUUAUCAAUCUAUUACCUUUAGGUUAAGCAUGGCCCCAAAUGAGCUUGUUGAAGUCUAGUUACUCUGCUGACAUCUAGCAGCCUCAGCUUUAGAGCUACCUCCAUGGUAACAUGCAGUGUGUCCUUGGCCAAGCCCCGUCACUGCUGAACCUCAACCUUCUUAGCUAUAAUUCAAUCUCCAAGCUUUCAUUAAGGGUGUAGAGUUUACAAUGUCCUUUGCCAUCUCACACACGGAGGCUUCAACUAGUGGGAACAGGUUAACCAGGUUCUUGUCUUGAAGAUGUGCCUGAUUCGUAGAUGGAAAGGGUUAAACCAGCAUGAGGCACAGAACGUAGAGAGGGUACAACUGUUGCUGUGGCUGUUGUUAGUCAUAACGUUCUGAGAAUUCCCGUGGAAGACCCCUGAGAGAUGCCAGAACAUGCCUGAGGUGCCGGUGGUCAUGAGGAUGAUUGUGCAAAUGUUUGGCAGGGGCAUCUUGUUUCGAAGAUUUCACGGUGCUAAAGAAGUUAAGCCUUGAAGGCCUGUGGCUUGGAAUGAUGGCACAUGAGGUGGAAAGGAAGUUGACGUGUUCCUCAGACCACAACAAGAGGGGCGAGAUCAUGUGCUCUGAUCAAUCGAGAGACCGGAGGUCCUUAGUCCCUGACUCUUAUGCCAUACCUACCUUUCUCAACGUCAUUCCUUUGAGUUAUUUUUCCCAGAGAAGGACCCCAAAUCUUUCCUUGACAGACCCCAUCCAACUAUCAAUGGCAGUUAUCGUCGGUAAGAGUACAACUCUCGCUCUAAGGACCCUAUGGGAACUUCCCAGCUCUGGGACCUUGGCAGCAUGAGAAGAAACAAAUACACCGAGGAAUGCCAAAGCAACCAGCAGAUGUCAGG
rnacentral:lncRNA from 13 species